rnacentral:rRNA from 1 species
ACUCAAAUGAAUUGACGGGGACCUGCACAAGCGGUGGAGCAUGUGGUUCAAUUCGAAACAAAGCGAAAAACCUUACCAAGGCUUGACAUUCUAGUUGCAAGUUCAACGAAAGUUGGACCUUCUUCGAGAGUACUAGAACAGGUGCUGCAUGGCUGUCGUCAGCUUGUACCGUGAGGCGCACCCUUAAGUGGGUCAACAAGCGCAACCCCCAUCUUGUGUUACAUUUCACAAGAAACCGCCCGCUAAAAGCGUGGAGGAAGGCGGGGAUGACGUCAAGUCAGCACGGCCCUUAUGCCUUGGGCUACACACAUCCUACAAUGGAUGUUUAACAACGAGCAGCAACACGGUAACGUGAAGCUAAUCUCAUAAAAGCAUCCUCAGUUCAGAUUGAGGGCUGCAACUUGCCCUCAUGAAGUUGAAAUCGCUAGUAAUCGCGGAUCAGCAGGCCGCGGUGAAUACGUUCUCAGGUCUUGUACACACCGCCCGU